UAGGGAAUCUUCCACAAUGGNGAAGCCUGAUGGAGCAACGCCGCGUGUGUGAUAAGGGUUUCGGCUCGUAAAACACUGUUGCAAGAGAAGAAUGACAUUGAGAGUAACUGUUCAAUGUGUGACGGUAUCUUACCAGAAAGGAACGGCUAAAUACGUGCCAG
rnacentral:rRNA from 1 species